rnacentral:misc_RNA from 1 species
AUCGCUGUUUGUACGCACGCACGCACGCACGCCGACACUCUAUGCUGCGACUGUCUCACGGCAAUUUUGUGAGGGGAAAGAAAAAAAAAGAGACACCGCGUGCGAGAGGAAAGGGAAGCGUUUAUUUGCUUCGCGCGAGAGAGAAACAAAAGACGGAGCAUCUAGAGAGUCGCGGCGAGCCUCGCCGCUGCACAAUUUUGUUUCGCAUCGUGCAUGCACGAAGCAGUACCUCGAGUGAAGGAGGGGACAAUUUUGCCGGGAAGGGGGAUGGAGGAGGAGUGAGAGAAAGAGAGAGAGAGAGAGAGAGAGAGAGAGAGGGGGGGGAUUGGCGCGAUUGACAGUUGGUAGUUAGUGUCGCUUCCUCGAUACGCGACGGCGGUGUGCAGCCGUGUUGUGUUCUCUGGCGAGUACCGUAGCUCCGCUAGCACGAGUUCCCUGCGGUGUCGAAGGGGGAAGAGGGGGGGAAGGGGAAAUCUCUCACGUCUUCGAGAAGGGAACCUCGUCUGCGAGAGUCUACGAGGCUCCGGCGGCUUUUAGCUCUUUAUCUUUAACGCGCGCUCGCGAAUGGGAGGGAUCGCGGAGGAGAGAUCGAGGGUAAUCGCUUGAGAAAUCAAAACGCUGAAGGAAGAGGAAGGACGCAGGAGCGUCAGGAAGAUCCUUGCGGCGCGCAUGACGCCGCGUUUGUUUACACGUCCGUCGCGUCGCGGUUGGGUGCUAACAGAACGCGCGGGAAUUCAAUGGAUAAUGAACGGAAGAAUAUUUGUCUGAAGAGAUAAUUGUAAAAAGAAUUCUUCGAUUGAACGCGGAAAAAUUGUGGAAAAAGAUAAUUGUAAAAAGAAUUGUCUCGACUGAGAAGAAAGAGCGAGAGAGAGAGAGAGAAGGGAGGCGGAAACGGGAGGGGUAAAAGGAAAGGAGGCUGUCAAGGAAACGGAAGUAGCGAAAAGAGCAAAGACUCGUUCUGCACACCUCGUGUUUUCUCUAUUCUUCCCCCUCUCGCAUCGGCGCUUUUAUUACUCGCUCGGUAAAUGAUUCACCGGAUUCACGCGGAUGCGUGAGCCCGCCGAUUUCUCGCAGGAGGAACUGGAACACGUCGAGGACUCGUCGUCGGGAACUCGUCCAGCGUGGUUCGGUGACCGAUCUCGCACGGAGAGUCGAGGGAAGGAAGGAUCCCCGGCGGGGAUAGAGGGAUUACGGAGAGAAAGAGAGAGAGAGAGACUGUAAAAGAAGGGCACGGAAGGAGGGAGAAAAAGAGAGAGAGGGAAAAAGAGAGACAAAGAAAGAGAGAGGAGGGGCAAUAGAAAAGGAAGGCGAAGCGGCAGGGCAGAAAGAAACGCAGAGAAGGCGAGACGGAAGGAGGAGAAAAAAGGAGGGAGGUAGAGAGGCACGCCGCGUGGACAACCGUGCACGCUCGUGUCUCUCUCUCGUUUCGUUUUGCUGCUUUCGUUCGUGCGAGAGCGCGGUGGAUGAGCUACGCUCGUUAGUGCCGGUUGAUGGUACGUCCUCGUGAUCCUGAACGACCUGAACCUCUACCCGCGCCGUUAAAAUUCAUAAUCCGCCGAGAGAAGAGGUCUGAGAUAGCCUCGCCGCUCUCUUGAGGAUCGCACGUGGUGUUGGUAGUGUCAGUAGAGGUGGAGGUGGUGCCGGCGCGCGGCAACUACAGCGGCGGUCGAGGAGGAUCCUCAUCUUUGGGAAGUCUCUUCGUCGAGGAGGACGUCGUCCUCGUGUCGACCUCGAUAGCAACAUCCCGACGCAAUCAUGUAUAAGCUACUGGGAGGAUUGAGCAAGUACCUGAAGCGGCAGGAGAUCAUCACGGACUCUGUGCUAUUUCGUUUGCAUAACCACUUCACCACGGUAUUGCUGUUCACGUGCUCGUUGCUCGUCACGGCCACCCAAUACGUCGGUAACCCGAUAACAUGCAUCGUCCAGGGUCUGCCUACUCCUCCCAUCAAUACUUAUUGCUGGAUAACAUCCACGUUCACCAUGCCAGACGCGUUCAAUCGACAGGUCGGCUCGGAGGUGGCACAUCCAGGAGUGUCCAACGACUUCGGAGAUGUCGAGGCAAGGAAAUACUACACGUACUAUCAGUGGGUCUGCUUCGUGCUGUUCUUCCAGGCGGUUCUGUGUUAUGUACCGCAAUGGUUGUGGGGUUUCUGGGAAGGCGGCCUGAUGCAAGCACUGGUCAUGGGAAUGAAUUGUGGUAUGGAUACCAAGGACAACAUAACGAAGAAGAAAAGUAUUCUCAUGGAUUACUUGAUGAUGCACAUAAGGAAUCACAACACGUACGUGUAUCGGUACUUCGCCUGCGAGGUUCUGUGCCUCGUCAAUAUAAUCGGUCAACUCUAUCUGAUGAACCGAUUCUUCGAUGGCGAAUUCCUCAGCUAUGGUCUGCGAGUACUGCAGUUCUCGGAUACACCGCAAGAGGAACGAAUUGACCCCAUGGUCUAUGUGUUUCCCCGCGUUACCAAGUGUAUAUUCCACAAAUACGGAGCUUCGGGUACAAUACAACAGCACGAUUCUCUCUGCAUUCUGCCAUUAAAUAUCGUCAACGAAAAGACAUACAUCUUCAUCUGGUUCUGGUUCUUCAUACUAGGCCUCAUGUUAAUCGGUCUGAUAAUAUAUCGAGCUCUGAUUAUUUUCGCUCCAAUGAUACGACCGAGAAUACUACAUCUAUCGUCGAGACUAUUGCCCAUCGAAACUUGCCAGAGCGUCAGCAGAAAAGUCGACUUAGGCGACUGGUGGAUACUUUACAUUCUUUCGACCAAUAUGGACUCGCUCCUGUAUAGGGAUUUCCUUAUGGAAUUUACGAAGAAGAUGGGUAAUACUAGCUCGAAGUCCGUGACCGCAUAAGCGUGAGAUCUUGGACGCGCACUUUGCGCUGUAUGAUAAUUUAAUUAUUUAGUUCAAAUAUACCGAUACACGGACUGACUCGCACCUCGCGGCGCGUUCCUGCAAGAUACCUAAAUAGAUGCUAAAAACUAAGUAAACAAUAGACCAAUCA